rnacentral:rRNA from 1 species
GAUCAUGGCUCAGGAUGAACGCUGGCGGCGUGCCUAACACAUGCAAGUCGAGCGGAGAUAAGUUGAAGCCUAGCGAUUCUUAUCUUAGCGGCGGAUGGGUGAGUAACACGUGGGUAACCUGCCCUGUACUGGGGAAUAACAGUUGGAAACGGCUGUUAAUGCCGCAUAUGCGCACGGAGCCGCAUGACUCCGGGCGGAAAGAUUUAUCGGUACAGGAUGGGCCCGCGCCGGAUUAACUAGUUGGCGGGGUAACGGCCCACCAAGGUGAUGAUCCGUAGCCGACCUGAGAGGGUGACCGGCCACAUUGGGACUGAGACACGGCCCAAACUCCUACGGGAGGCAGCAGUGGGGGAUAUUGCACAAUGGGGGAAACCCUGAUGCAGCGACGCCGCGUGAAGGAUGACGUAUUUCGGUAUGUAAACUUCUAUCAGCGGGGAAGAAGAUGACGGUACCCGACUAAGAAGCCCCGGCUAACUACGUGCCAGCCGCCGC